UUUCUUCACAGAGCUCAAGGUGGCAUACAUGGUUCCCCCCCUCCUCAUUUUAUCCCCACAAAAGUCCUCUGAGGUAGGUUGGUCAGAGAGUGAGUGUCCGGCCCAAGGUCACCCAGUGAUCUUCUUGGCUGUGUGGAGAUUUGAACCCUGGUCUCCCAGAUUGCACUCUGAGCACUACAUCCCAGUGACUUUCCUACAGGGGUGCCAACUUGAAUAAAGGAUGGGGGGGAGGUAAGCAACCACCCCACGUAAUCAAUCACAUGACACGACACACACACCAUUUGAAUGGCAAUGCCCAUCAACAUUGCGGGGGGGCACUCCCUCCUCUGCUUUUCCACAUCCGUACUAUAGCUUCAAGAUUCCUACUCGCGACAAUCUUUCCAGCAUGGCCGUGAGCUGUGUUGGCUAAAUAAAUCUUUGCGACGAUAAGGCUUGUUUUUCAGGCACGAUGGAUUCCUGUAAGCUUUGUUGAGCCAACAAUAGCGAGAGCUGAAGCCUUUGGAAAAACGAUUGAUACCUGGCAAAUAGAAGCUGGAGUGCAUUUAAUUCUGUUUAGCUAUAAGCCUUCAUGCACACACACAUGACCACGGAUCCUCUUUGCAAAGGUCACCGCAAUAUAGAAUGGUCAUCAUCUGUAACAAAGCUGCUUAACCAUUGAAAACUUGUUGCGUCCAAAGCAAAUGUUUGAAAGAAGAGGAAAGCAGAAAGUGGCAUAUAUGCGUUGGGAGUGGGGUGCGGGGCAUCCUCAGAUCAUGGGAUCAGAUCCAGCAUCCUCUACUUGCUAGCAGUAAGAGCCCUUGUACUAGGGAGUGUCAGAGCUGAAAGGUUGAGCGACAAAGGAAUCCAGUACAACUGUUGUACAACAGCUGAUUUAUUUGGAGCCUAUUGUUAUGCAGAGUGUGCAAACUGUGCUUUGUGCAUUUGGUUAGAGAGCAGACUUUACCUGUUGCAAUCACACACAGAGGGAUGCAUGUAGAAUAAGAAAAUAACAACAUUGUUUAUUAUAGGAAGUAAUGUAACUUGGAUGGAAAAUGUGUUUGGUUCAAAGCCAACUAACUAAUCCAGAGAAGAGAAAAGCAGCAAUGCUUGCUCAGUUGUUCUCAGAGGUUAGAGGCAAGCAGUGGCAUAGCAUGGGGGGACAGGGGUGGUUCCCCCAGGUGCAACAUUCUUAGGGGUACAAAAUUUCAACACCUGGUGCUGCUUCAAUACAGCUGCACACUUUUGUUGCUGGGCGUUGUUGAAAAUGGCUUCUUCGUGUGAACCAGGAAGAGACAUCUCCAGACAACGGAACGACUCUCCUUUUCUUAUCUCAGCAGCUACGAUCUCCCAGGGUGACACACACUGUUAGGAAGUUGAAUGCGCAUGAAUACUCCAUCCGUUUCCCUCCCUCCACACGGCCUCGGGUGCUGGCAACCCACGCUAUGCCACUGGAGCCAAGGCAACCUCUCAUCUUGAGGUCCGAGAGAGAAGCGUGAGGAGGAGGAAGUUGUAAGCAGGAUGUUGUAAGGCAUAUCAGUCUAAACUCUGAAGGAGAGGGAGGUUGCAUAGAGGUCCAUUGCAUAAAAAUAUUUGGUAAAGGACUUGUGUUUUCUCCUGUGCAACAAGGUUCCACCAGGGCAGAAAGCCGGCCAUGAAGUGAGAGCUUUGUGGCUCAUUGGGUAUCUGAACCCUGGACUCCCAGCUGCUUGCCCAAUUCCCUAACCAUUAUGGCUACCAGCUCCCAUCAGCCCCAACCAGCACAGCUUUGUGGGACAAAGAUUUCUGCCUGGAAUCCAGAAGAGCCACUGCCUAUUAGUGAAGAUGAUGCUAGACAAGAUGGACCAAGGAGCUGAGCUAGGGAGUAACUCAGGGUGUGUGUCUCUGCCUUGCAUGCAGAAAGUACCAGGUUCAAUCCCCAGCCACUCUGUGUCUCAAACCUUAGAGAGGUGCUGCCAAUCAGUGUGGACAGGACUGAGUUAGAUGAUCCAGUGGUCUGACUCAGUUAUAAGGAAGCUUUCUAUGAUAGGGCAAGGGAUGCAACUCAGUGGUAGAGCAUCUGUUUUGUAUGUAGAAGGUUGCAGGUUCAAUCCCCAAUGGCACUCCAGGGAUGGUUGAGAGCCCUGCUUAAACCCUGCCAAGCCACUGCCAGUCUGUGUGGACAAUAUUUAGAUGGACCAAUAGUUUGACCCAGUAUAAUGCAGUUUCCCGUGUUCCUAAUGUACUCAACUCUUCCAACUGUUCAUUUGAAUACUUUGUCUCUAGAACUCUCAUCAUUCUGGUCACUUUUCUCUGGGCACGAUCCUGUGACGUCCUCCUUUAAAUGUGGCGCUCAGAACUGGCUGAAACAGAGAGAGCAGAGUUUGGCCGCUCCAAAAGCAGGUGGGAGAGCGAGGGAUAAACAGGUGGAAUGACUCUACUCCAGCCAGAUCCAUGGCAAUUCAUCUUCAUUCCCGCUAUUAAGCAGAAUGUCACUUCCAAUCCACCAGAGCUCACAGCUCAGGUGUCAAAGUCUUUGGAGACAUCCAGGUGACACUCCAGAAAUUGAGGCACUGCUGUUCCUUCUAUCUUCUCAGAGCAGCCGUUUAGUUAGAUCAAUUUGCAGCUGAUAUUUGCAAAACAUCUCUCCCUCUCCCUCUCCACCCCCCACCCCCGCUCUCUCACUCACACACUUGUUUUCCUAGGAGAAAAGAGUGUCUCCUUCUAUGAGAGAAGCAGAAGAACUUUUCUGAUCAAAGAAAGGACUGAUCAUUUUGAGGAGGCUUUUCUCCAAACAGGCUCCCUGGCUGGUAAAAAUAAUAACUCGUCAUGCAUCAACUUUUGCAAGAUCAUUUGCUAUGGAAGUUUCAGUAGUGGAGAGACAUCCUUCUCAGGCUGGAAUCAGAACCAUGCGGAAGCUCCACUGGUAUUCAAAGACCCCUUUCUGGAUCAUAGAUCAUAAAAUUGUAGAGUUGGAAGGGACCCUGAGGAACAUCUAGUCCAACCCCCUGCAAUGCAGGAAUAUGGAGCUAUCCCAUACAAUGCAACCUUGGCAUUAUCAGCACUUUGUUCUAACCAACUGAGAAGUUUCUGGUGGUUUUAUGUACCUCUAAAAAGGAAGCCUCUAGCUUUUUGUCUUAUGGAAAUUGUGUCACCAUCGUCAGAGCAUCUGAAGAGCCUGGCUGGAUCAGGUCUGUGGCCCCUCUAGUCCAGCAUCCUGUUCUCACAGUGGCCAAUCAGAUGCCCCAAUGGGAAGCCCUACAAGCAGGACCCAAGCACAAGAGCACUCUUCCCUCCUGAGCUUUCCAGCAACUGGUAUUCAGAAGCAUCACUGCCUCCAACUACAUGGAUCAUUAGCCUGAUCCAGCAGGAUCUUCUUAUGUUCUGAUGCUUAGGCUUGCCAAAAAGCCUCACUUUGCCUCCCGUGGGAAGCUUUCUUCAGGUAUCAUUGUGACGCCAGUAGGUGGGUGGGAGGGAAGCAUUUUCAGAAGCUGUUUUUAGAUGCCACUGAGAUGCCCACAAGUGUAGCAUAAUGGCCACAACCUCCUUUUGUCAUCUGCCUCCAGCAUUUGAAAUUCUGCCUCUGAAGACAGGAAGUGCCAUUUAUCAAUUGAGAUGGUGCCCAUAGCUGUCAUUUCUGCCCUCCUCCGCCAUGCAUUGGUCUAACUCUGCUUGGAAAGUCAUCUCAACCAGAUGGCCAUGGCAGAAGCAGCAAAGUCCAUGUGUAAAUUGUGGUGGGGAGAGAGGUCUUCUGUUCCUCCUAUUGACUGAACUGACUCAUGGGUAGGUGCCUUUUGCUGAGUCAGACUAUUUGGUUCAUCCGGCUCAGCUGGUUAAAGCGUGGUGCUGUAAAUGCCAAAGUUGUGGGUUCAAUCCCCAUAUGAGCCAGCUGCAUAUUCCUGCAUUGCAGGGGAUUGGAUUAGAUGACCCUUGGGAUCACUUCAAACUAUAGAAUUCUAUGAUUCUGCCUCCAAAGACUGUCAGCAUCCCAUUCAACCCAUAUCCUGGAGAGUCCACACUCCACAUGCAGUUUGAUACUUGGCAUAUCUGGGUAGGGCUGGGAGAGAGUCCCUGCCUGAAUACCUGCUGCCAGCCAGUGUAGCCAACACUGAGUUAGAUGACCUGGCACAGUAUAAGGCAGAUUCCUGUGUUCCAAACUUGUGGAUCCCCAGUGGAUCCUGGAGAGAUGUCAGCUCUGGCCUCCAUGAAAGCCCAGCUAUUUCCCCCUUACAUUUACAAAAUGCCACUUUGAUAUAAAGACUCGAGCCAUUAACCGAAUCGAUCAAGCUAAUUUAUAACCACAGAAUCUCUGUGCCCGUUCCAUGAGAUGGCAGUAAAUUUAAGGUUUGGGGCUUGGCAAUCAAUAACCAGGAGAGAAGCAGACCAAAGUUUUGCACCACACCCAAAGGAGAAUCAAAGACGCUGCCGUCUUUGGAUUGAUGUCAAGGCGCAGCUGCCAAGCCAAAAAUACAUCCCCACCCCACCCCACCCCACAAAAAAGCACAAUGUAAGGCAAAUUGAGGGGGGAGAUCUGGUCCCUGUGGGUUGCUUGAUCAAUCUGAAAAAAUGAGGUGAUGGGAUGGACUGGAGCAAUUCAUGUGGGAGGUAUGAGAAGCAGAGUGUGAUAGAAAUUGUAGAUCUCAGCACAGCACGCCAAGGAAAGAGACGGUGGGAAGUCCAGUUGCGUCAAUGGAAGCCCUUCUGGUCAUGUAAUUAUUUUGCUGGAUACUGCCAAGCUUGUUAGCCCACAUCUGGCCCAUCAUAAACUCCAGACAACCCUUCGCCAAGCUGAUCCCCUCCAGAUGUUUUGGACAAUAACAUACCCUCCAACAUUUCUCCGAUGAAAAUAGGGUUGUCCUAAAGAAAAGCAGGACAUUCUGAGAUCAUAUCAAAAUCCAGGGCUGCUCCUGGAAAACAGGGACACUUGGAGAGUCUGCUAUAAUUCCCAUCAGCCCCAGUGUCAUAUACAUGAUUGCUGACAGGAGUGGCCAUAUAACACCGUUGCUGAAUACAGUGGUACCUCGGGUUACAUACGCUUCAGGUUACAGACGCUUCAGGUUACAGACUCUGCUAACUCAGAAAUAGUACCUCAGGUUAAGAACUUUGCUUCAGGAUAAGAACAGAAAUCGUGCAGUGGUGGCACAGUGGCAGCAGGAGGCCCCAUUAGCUAAAGUGGUCUUCAGGUUAAGAACAGUUUCAGGUUAAGAACAGACCUCCAGAACAAAUUAAGUUCUUAACCCGAGGUACCACUGUACUUGCUAUAUACUACCAGGACAAGUUCAAGCUGUUACUAUUAGUGUGCACAACCCUUAGUAAUUUGGAAGCAGUUUACCUGUGAAAUUGCCUUACCCACUCAAUCACUUUGCCCGGUGGAAGUGGCACUCUUACAGGUGCCACCUAUUACUCCUGCAGUUGUAAGAAACUGGCAUUUUAGAGCGAUAGCACCACACGUUGGAACUCCCUGCCUAUUGACAUCAGGCGGGAGACUUUGCUGCACUCUGGGGAUUCAAACCCGAGUCUCUCCCAGGCCCUAGUAUGAAUAAGAAGGAAGCCAUAUUUGGACGGUUCUGGUGUGUGUACUGAACAGGUCCGGACAUCGCUGCCAUCCUUCCCCAGCAUGAACCUCAUGCCCAGCUGAGAGCAAUACCCCAGUUCUGAGAAUGAUGCUUUGCCAGCCUGCUGGUUCUUCCACUGCUGGCCAGAAUCCCAAGCAGGCAUCUCGGCUCAGCUCCUCUUUGCCAGGAAAGAGCCUGACAAGUCAUCUGUACUUGUUAGAACAGUGCCAGGGAGAGACUUUUUUUAAUGGCACUUUCCAGGGGAGAGGCGUAAUGAAUAUAUUACCCCAGAUGCCAGUUUUAUUUCCAGUAGUUAACUGAGCCAGGAGUGAAUUAUGCCCGCCCAAAUACCAUUCAAAAGCCAUAAAAUUGCAGGAAAUAACCUUUGUGUUGGAGGCUAAUUGAACUAAUAUUAAUUGAAACGGGCUUCCUGAUGGGAGCCCCCUGCUCCUCCGCAACUGCACUUUGGGGAUUUGCCUGACCCAGAAGGAAGCGGCUAACAGGGCAGGGUUAGCAGGGUCAGAGGAGGAGACCAGAGAUGGACAAAGAGCUUCCUCUCCCUCUUCUCAGAAUGCCAAGCAACUCUGGAGAGCACAGGAAGCAUAAACUUAGCUAAUUCAUGGCUCAGAAGGAGAGCUACCAUUAGAGAGGCACGGCACAGAGUUAACCUGUGGAACAUGCAUCCACUGGAUAUAGUGUUGGCCACUGACUUGGAGGAGUUUGAAACAGGAUUGGAGAAAUUCAUGGAGGGAGAAGGCUAUCAGUGGCUACUGCCUGCUAGGGCUUUGUUCCACCUCCACUGCCAGAGGCUUCUGAAUACCGGUUGCUGGAAACUGCAGGAGGGGAGAGGACUCCAGGGCCCGGGUCCUGCUUGAAGGUUUCCCACAGGCAUCUGGUUGGCCCCUGUGAGAACAGGAUUCUGGGCUGGAUGGGCCAUUAGCCUGAUCCAGCAGGCUCUCCUUAGCUUCUGAAUGCUUCUGAAUACCAGUUGCUGGAAAUGGGAUGAAGGGAGAGUGCUCUUGGGCUCAGGUCCCACUGGCAGGCUUCCAAUAGGGACAUCUGGCUGGGCAGCAAGAGAAAGGGGUGUUAGGUGAGAUGGAUCAUUUGCCUGAUCCAGCAGGGAGGCUCCUCUUAUUUGAGAUAGGCAGAUAGAUAGAUAGAUAGAUAGAUAGAUAGAUAGAUAGAUAGAUAGAUAGAUAGAUGAUAGAUAGAUGAUAGAUGAUAUAUCAAGUGAUGAGGCUUUGAAAGUGAUAGAACAGAAAGUGCAGAGGCAACAAGCUCAGAUUACCUGACCUAGGAGUGACGUAGAUUAAUGGGGAUGCAGGGGGUAAACCUUAACUGGGAGCAACACCAUUUUUAGAGAGGCAUGCAUUCCUUUGUCUCUCACUGUGAUUAUUAAAGAACUUAUCUGGUAAGAACACUCCUUUUGUUUGAUCUGCUUAUUUACCAAUUCCCCGAAGCCUGGCAACAAGUCAUUCAAGGACGCAUCUCAGCUGGGAAAAUCGUUGAAGGAGCAUAUUUAGCAAGGCCAGUAAAGGAUGUGGUGUGGCUAGAAAGGGGGUGUCCUGGGAAGAGUCCUGAGACAUGGAGAAGUGUGGACAGACUCAAUUGGCUCCUGGGCCUGAACUUCCUCCACCUGCCAAAUUGUCUUUACCCCAUAUACAUUCACUUGACCACUUCGAUCUGAGGAUCUGGCACUAUGCAAUGUGCCACACAGUACUCAUUCCACAUUUGUAAGAAAUCAAUUGUUUCAUGCGGCAACACCUACACUUUGGAACUCCCUACCGAUUGAUACCUGGGCAGGCAUCUUCACUGUGCUCUUUUUGGCACCUGCUAAAAACAUGUUUGCUUAGACAUACCUACCCUGAUAUGUAGAAUUCUGACAUGUGUUUUAAUCUGUUUUUAGUUUAUUACUGAUUUAAAUUAUUAUUAUUAUUAUUAUUAUUAUUAUUAUUAUUAGCUGUUUUUAACAGUGUUCACAGAUAAUCUUAUUGUCCCGUUCUUUUUGCAAUCUGAUUUGAGGGUUUUGGUUUUUUUUUAAAAAAAAUUAAGUGGUCACUACAGUGGUACCUCUGGUUACAGAUGCUUCAGGUUACAGACUCCACUAACCCAGAAAUAGUACCUCAGGUUAAGAACUUUGCUUCAGGAUGAGAACAGAAAUCGUGCGGCAGCAGAAGGAGGCACCAUUAGCUAAAGUGGUGCCUCAGGUUAAGAACAGUUUCAGGUUAAGAACGGACCUCCAGAACGAAUUGAGUUCUUAACCCGAGGUACCACUGUAUAUUGUACGAUCUAUAAACUGAUCUAUAAACAAACCCUGAAAUAGCAGACAGACAGACAGAACCAGGAGCCAGGCUUAAAACCAAAGUGCUGCAUUUAAAAUUUUACAUCGCAGGCAAUUUGCACAGUUUAGGGGAACCUAACCAGGAGCAGGAGAGAGGGAGAGAGGGAGGGAGGGAGAGAAGCCUUUUGUGGCUUUGCUCAGAGAACUUGAAAGGGAGGCCGACAAGCCGAUGAAAUAAUGAACUUUAUUUGAUUUUAUUUUCACAUUUUGGACCUGGAAGGGAAAAAAAGAAAAAGCCCAGCGAGACAAUGCGGACUUAGAAUCAAAGCCAGCUGACCUUCGCUUGAUGACCCUGCAGGGGGAAAAAUGAGCUCAAAAUAUAAGAUGGAGAGAAAGCAAAACCAUCUCCUGACUUAUUGUAUUCGUUUCAUAUUUCCCAGGGGCAUCAGCUGAAGCUGUUAACAAGUGGCUCACAAAUGAAUCCAUUCCCCUUUCAUCUUUUUUCUUCUUUUUUUUUGUCUCUUUGCCUCUCCCUCCAACCUCAGCGUUAAUAUAGAUUUCCCUGCUGCUAGAUCCCCUGCUAGCUCCUCUCUGAGUCAGCCUUUCUGCAAGGACUGUGUCAUUUAUUUCCUCAUUUCCUAGCACUUCUCUCUCUUUUUUUCCCUUGCUCUUUCACCACAGCUCCCAGGAGCACUACAUUUCCUGAAUCUGCACACUCAUUUCUGAAACACUCUGCUUUCCUUUCCCUUAGCCUAAACUGAAUCUCCCCACCAGUUUGUUGGGGGCUCCUUCCUAAAGAGAUGAGAAUCUGUCCAUCAGGGAAAUGGAGCCAGAUUCCUGCUAGGCCUUUUCUAUUCAUCCCCUCCUCGACUCUUGGCUUCCCCCUGUUGGGAGCAUAAGACUCAGGACACAGACUGCAUUUGCAGGCCACCACCGGUGCCAAGGCAAUUCUCGGAAGGACACGGCAAUAAAGAGGAAGAAAGGAAAAUAUCUCAUUUGCUCCAGAGUUCCUUCGAAGCCGGGCUCCUGCGCACCUCAUUUGGCAAGGUGAGAAUCUCCCAAAUCCUCUUCUGGUCUUUGCUAGCAGCAAAGAAUAAAAGUGUGGGGCUUUGCUUUAACAGAGUUUUGUGUUUAUGGGAUGAGAUCAGCCAGGAGCUGUGCCCGGGAAUAAAUAAGUCCCCAAGACACAAAAGCCAGCAGAGAGGAAGAAAAAUCUGCUCUGGGUGGGGAAGGAAGGAGGGAGAGGCGAUUCUGUGAUAACCUGAAAGUUAUCUGCUGAGAAGGAGGCCAACUGUGCUUAAGGGGUUCCAGAACCUACAUAGGUUUUCAGGGAAUAAAUGCACAGAGCAAUCAUUUUCAGAGACAUCAAAUGGAGCCAUCUCCCAUUAUUGAUGCUAAAACAGGGGUGAAGAUUCAGAGGCCUGAGGGCCCUUGAGAAGCUUCCCAGGCUAUCCCUUCUCAUCAGCCAGCCAUCCCUCCCCUUCACCCUCUCCUUGAGUGUUUAGUCCUGGCUAGAAAGUGCUUGCCUGGUUGGAGGAGAGAGAGGGGAGAGGGAUUUGUGAGUGUAAAAUUGUACAAAAGUAAAAUCUAUAUCCAAUACUCUACCCCAGAGGUUUCCAAAUGUCAGGGACUGGGCAGAGGAGGAAUGGUGGAGACCGCCUCCCCAGCCUGAUCCUUCCAGAAAAGAAGGAGACAGUUCAGAAUUACAACAGGGGUUUGAGGGAGGUCACAGCUCAGAGGCAGUUGAGGGGAAAAGGUGGGAAAUAAUGGGAGAGGAGGAGGAAGACAAAGCACCAGAAGGGAGACAGCUGACGGUCACAGUGUCAUUAGAAAGCAUUCCAGACCCCCCUUCUCCCAGAACUCGGCGAGCCUUGAAAGUAGUAGAGUAAAGGGCUUAGAAGCAAAGGGCCCUCAGUGCCACCCAUAAAGGACAAGGUGACAAAUGAGGAAGUGGGAGAAAAGGGGGCAGAGAGUCACUCAGGACAAUGCCAUUAUUCCAAGAGGCUGCAUUCCCAAGCCUCUCUCUGUGAAUAUUGAAUAAAAAGCAUAUGGUAAGGACUUUUCCUUGUCAUAUCCAUUCCUGGAAACCUGCCAUGGGGUUGAUUCCUCUGCUGCCUGACACCAAACUUAUUUGGCCUACCCCUCCCUUUGGGGAGCGGGCACUCAGCACACACAAACACCCCAGGAAAUCUACCUUCUUUAAGCGAACAAACCAAAAGAUGCAGUGACAAAUUUGCAUUCUUUUAUGUACCUAUAUUUCUACCUACAUCCUACAACAUGGUAAAGAAAAUGUGGUUGUAAAUAUGACACCUUGGAGCUUGAAAUUGUACAACUAUUUAUUGAAGUAAAUCACAGUCACAUUCACUUUACACACAGGGUUUGCCCAAGCACAGGAAAACAACCUCGCCUCCAGCAUGACUGCCAGAUCUCAGGAAGACGUUGUCGCUGUCCCGCAACGGCACCUGACCUGCUGGUAAGUGUCAUUACACAACGGAUGAAACAUGUAUGAAUGCUUUAUUGAUUUUUUCUCCUCUUCUUUCUUUAUGCUUCCACUGCCCCCUUAUUUUUAUUCAAUGCCCCUCAAUUGCACCAGAGGCUACCACUGCCCUCCUGGAUCGUUCCAGCGCCUCCCAGGGGGUGGUAAUGCUCACUUUGGGAAACACCACUCUACCCACUAUUUUCCAAUGAUGGCAUGUGGCCCCUGGAAUAUUGCUCAGAAGGGAAGGCAGCUACUGUACUGAGUUCAAGACAUACUCCACUCAACCCUCCUUGGAUAAUGAGCCCAAAGCUGCAGAGGUUAUAAAUUCAAGGCUUAUUUAAGCACCACAGACAGCUCUUUCCAGAGGGCAGAGCCUACAGCACAACAGGUCUUACCUGCUCAGACAUCUCCAGCUCUCUACUACAGCAACAUCUUUCCUGUGUUGUCUAAGAAGGAACCAGCCAGGCCUGAUUGAAUGGGGAGCUCUCCAAGGUGCUGAUCUGAUCUCCUGAAACUAUGAGUCUGGGGUGGGAAACCUGUGGCCCUCCAGAUGUUACUGUACUACAACUCCUCUGAUCAUUGGCCACACUGACUAGGCUGGAGUCCACCAACAUCUGGACAAUCACAGGUUCAAGCUAUAGUGUGGUGAUACCUGAUUUGGAAUUACCUAGUAACCCCUUCUAGCUUCCAGCUGCCCCUAAGGAAAGUGCUGGGCACUUUGUGAAAUAUUUUUUCUCUGUCCUUUUUUUGGUGUCUAUAUUUAUGCUGCAUGGGGGAGGCUUUUAUGGGGUCCCUGAAGCAGCUCAAAGCAGUAUGGAACAAAAUCAAUAAAAAGUUUGAAAACAAAUGAUUUACUUUAAAAAGAGAAGAGGCAGGUACCAUAAGAGCAAAAGAGAGAAGAGCCUGCUCCAUCAAGCCAAUGGCCCAUCUAACCCAGCUUCCUGCUGUCACAGUGACCACCCAGAUCACUUAGACCUUCAAGCAGGACCCAAGCCAAAGAGUCCUCUCCCCUCCUGCAGUUUCCAGCAACUGGUAUUUAGAAGCAUUACUGUCUUCGACCGUGGAGGCAAAGCAUAGCCACUCUGGCUAGUAGCCAUCAAUAGCUCUAUCUUCCAUGAAUUUGUCUAUUCCUGAUUUGAAAGCCAUCUGCAUGGGUGGCUAUCUCUGCCUCCUGUGGGAGGGAGUUCCAUAGUUUAACUACAGUGGUACCUCAGAUUACGGACACUUCAGGUUACAGAUGCUUCAGGUUACAGCCUCCGCUAACUCAGAAAUAGUACCUCAGGUUAAGAACUUUGCUUUUUUGUGCUCCAGCAGCAUGGUGGCAGCAGGAGGCCCCAAUAGCUAAAGUGGUAUCUCAGGUUAAGAACAAUUUCAGGUUAAGAACGGACCUCCAGAACGAAUUAAGUUCUUAACCCGAGGUACCACUGUAUGUGCUGCAUACUUCCUUUUAUCUUGCCAGAAUCUUCCUACAUUCAGUGCCAUUGGAUGACCACGAGCUCUAGUGUUAUCAGAGAGGGACACAAACAUUUAUUGAUCCACAGGCAUCGGGUGGGGUGGCUACAUCAGAAGCGAGUAGCCAGUGAUCCCCUCUGAAGCUCUGGAAGGGUGUCAGAUGCAACUACAGUGGUACCUUUGGUUACAUACGCUUCAGGUUACAGACUCUGCUAACCCAGAAAUAUUACCUCAGGUUAAGAACUUUGCUUCAGGAUGAGAACAGAAAUCAUGCUCUGGCGGCGUGGCGGCAGCAGGAGGCCCCAUUAGCUAAAGUGGUGCUUCAGGUUAAGAACAGUUUCAGGUUAAGAACAGACCUCUGGAAUGAAUUAAGUUCUUAACCCAAGGUACCACUGUAUCUGGGAAUUGCCGUCAAAUCCGCCUCCCCAUCAUUUUAUUCCUCUCCUCCUUAAGGAGGAACCUUCAUCAAGUCAGCCCUGGUGCCAAGGGAGGCAUAAAUAGGAUCGCUAUCUCCCCCUCAUUCAUAAAAGACUGGAAUCCCUGCCUGUUAACAAGUGCUGUGUAAUGAAGGGCAAGCAAUGGUGACCUCUUGGAGACUAAAUGAGGCCCACUUAGCAUCCGCAUCACUCCCUGGACGUCCAUUCGGAUUCUCUAUUACCGAACUGACUAGGCCUGACACAGGCUCCUCCAUUCUGCUUCCUAUCCAGGGACCGCGUGAGUAGCUUAAGAGCUGAGUUUACCCUCGGAAAGAGUGUUUGCUUAUUAUCAACAAAGCGCAGCGCUCGAGGUUGCAAAUCCCAUUUGGGCCACGGGGGCCAUAACAAGGCCCAGUUUAAAAGCGGGCCUUUAAGCAGUUUAAAAGCGAGAGAAAAUGUAGCUGUGCAAAGCUGAUUGAGACUGGCGUCCCGUUUAAAGUGGAUCGCCAGCCAAUCCUAGCACCAGCCAAGGGGUUCCUGGCCUGAUGGCAGACCGGGCCUGGUCAGCAGCCAAUUCAGUUUAAAUGUGGCAGCGGCCACAGGGAGCCUGAACACAAAUAAGGCUUUUAGAAAAAUGCUCAGCAGUGCCGUUGUUAAAUCAAGCCUUCUACAGAUGCAGAGGCAUAAUCAAGCUAGCCAUGUUCUCUUUGAGCAAUGGUGAGGAACCUCCAGCCCAGGGGCCAAAUGCAGCCCCCAGGCCUCUCAAUCUGGCCCUUGUGAUUUUCCCCAGGCCAUGCCCCCCACCGGCCCUCCAUUCCCAGACCCUCCGAGUGUACCUAUUUUCCAGGGACAGUCCUGGAUUUACAGAAGCCAUCCCAGUUUCUGACAUGAUCCUGGAGUGUCCUGCUUUCCCUUAGGAUGUCCCUGUUUUCACUGGAGAGAGGUUGGAGGGUAUGUUGCACCUUACUCCCCCCCUUUUUUUGCCUUAAAUGUUUUUGCCCCUCUGAAAGUCACCAAUCUAGAUGGCUUUGAAAGAGGAUCUGACAAAUGCAUGGAGGAAAGGACUAUAGUUGGCUCAUAGCCAUGGUGGUUACUCUCUGCCUCCACAGUUGGAGGCAGCAUUGCCCUUGAGUACCAGUUGCCGAAAACAACAGAAGGGGAGAGGGCUCUUGUGCUCGAAUCCUGCUUGCAUGUUUCCCACAGGUAAUGGGCAUCUGAUUGGCCACUGUGAGAACAGGAUGCUGGACUCCCUUUGGUCUGAUGCAGCAGGCUCCUAUUGUGUUCUUAUGAUGCUGCUGUUCUCCUAUUGUGUGUCAGGCUUCGGGGAACCCGAUCCCUCCCACAGUGGCAGCCAAGGAGCAGACAAACAAGAAGAGCUCUUACCAAGUCUUUUAUUCAAUAGUCACAGAGAGAGAGCGAGCGUAGAAAUGCCAUCUCUCUUAGAUAAAUGGUGUUGCUCCGUGUAAAGUCCCACCCCCUCUAUCUCUCCUAUUAUACGUCAUCCCUGUGUUGGCUCAUCUGUGUUUUCUGCCUCUGAGCUUUCUGUUCUACUACUCUCAAUGCAUGCCGGGUCCUGGGAAAGGGAAUGCUUUCUAAAGACGCUGAGUCUGUCAGCUGUUUCUCCCCUGGUCCUUCUUUUCCUGCUGCUGCUCUCCCAAUAUUUCCCAGCCUCUCCCCUCUGCAAUUUCUGAACUAUGACCUUCUGCAAACCACUUUUGUAAAUCUAUACUGUCCUCCUCUUCUCAAGAGGGUUAAAGAAAAGGGGGGGUGGUCCCCACCAUUCUUCCUCAGUCCAGUCCCUGACGUUGUGUUAUUAUGUUCUCACCUGUAGCCUCUGAAUUCCUGUUGCUGGGAAUCACAAGCAGGGAGAAUGCUGCUGUCAGGUGUGCGUGCAGGAGCCAGGCCCUGUGACCAAUAGGACUUUGCAGGACUGGGGCCUUCCUAAGUUUGUUCUGAAGAGGCAAGGCGCGGUCUCACAGGUGAAGCCGAUUGGUAACUCACAGCACCUGGUGGCAAGAGCUGGGAAGGGAUAUAAGGUCAGCAUUUCCCUUCGGCUCUUUGCCACAGCAAUACGCUUCCUGCCUUGGGCUUCUUGCUUCCUGAUCCUUGAACCUCGGCUUCUUGACUCCUUGCUUCUUGAUCCUCGGACCCUUGAUUUCUUGACUCCCGGUUCUCUGACCCUCGGACUCUACCCCCGUUCCUGCUCCCAUCCCGCCAUCUUGCCCCCGGUCCUGACGUCCCCUGCCAGGACUUUGAUCACCCAUGACAGCCGCUGCUGCUGCACUCAGGCCCUGUUUCUGGGCCUCCUGUUGUGGUAUACAGAUCAGUUAUAUUCAAUGUAAGACUUUAAGGUUGUAUACAGUAUAGGGUUGGGGGAGAAGAGAGUGGGUGGUUAGUAAACUUUCAUUCUUUUCACUCUUUCAUUGUGUAUGUGUGAGGUUUUUGUGUCAGCGUCAUGUGGGUCAGUUCUUGUUCUACUCAUUCAUUAGCUUUCAUUGGCAGUGAGAGAGGUUGAGGGGGCCCUGGGCAUGGGUGGCUGCCUUCAGCUGACUGCACUGAGCUUUGUUUAUGUGUGUGAGGGGUUGUUGGGUCAAGAUAGCCAUAUCGAUUUGUAUGUCGUCAGUGGGUUCUCGUUGUUGUCUUGUGGGGCUGUAUGUAUAAUAAAGGGGAGCCACACUGGGGUGAAGGCAUCCUCUUUUAUUUGUCCCUAUCUUUGUUUCUGUUUAUUGCUUAGCUUUUCUAGUAAGGCAGUUUCCCAUACAGUUUGGUACCAGUGGUCCAUGUUCACUCCUGACACGUCUUCCCAGUGUCUGGCUAUGAUGCUACCACUGAGUUCUUCUCGUGUUCUGAACCUACCGUGUUUUUCACUCCAUAAGACACACUUUUUUUCUUCCUAAAAAGUAAGGGGAAAUGUCUGUGUGUCUUAUGGAACGAAUGUGUGGUCCCUGGAGCCAAAUUGCCCAGGCGCAAAAAGCUGAUCAUGCUUUUUUUUAAAAAAAGAAGAAGAGGGAAGUGGGUGUUAAAACAAGGCCUUUGGUUGUUUGCCGAUGGGGAGAGAGAUAAGGGAUGCUAGAGAUAAAGGAGGCUGCCUGGGAGGGGGAAGGUAAAGACAGCAAACUUGCAAACGGGGGAAACAGGAAGACUAAAGCAAUAAGGAGAGAAAUUAGAAGAAAAGGAGGAGCAAAAAACUGCUCCACCUAAGGAAAAGACACUAAGGCAAACAAGAGGGAAGGGAGUGUUGAAAGGAAACAGCUGAUUGGUGGGAUCGGAAGAGAGAUAAGGGACACUAGAGGAGGCUGCUUGGGAGGGAGGAGGUAAAAGUCCAUGGAUCCUCAGGAUUUUUACAUUGGGUCAUCCCAAAUUCACCAUCAGAUCACAUAGCAUGUCCAUGGCUAUAGCCUGCACCAAAAAAAUCACGCACCCACUGUUGCGUGAGGCCGCAAUGGUGCAAAAAUGCCUGGUGCUGAAAGGGGUUUCAGACUUGCCUCUUUUCAUUCCUUCCUCUGCCCCAUGGCAAAAAUCUCUCACACUGUUCCUUGUUCUUUCCAGAUGUUCUUGUUUCAAAGCAUCCAGGAAUCCCAAUGCUCCAGAUUGUGAAAUCUAGGAGUGCCUGAUUUCUUUGAGAUGACUGACAUAGAUGGGGGGGCAGGAAUGGUGGUGGAUGCCUCUCCUUCCAGAUAUGCAAACACCUGGAUGGGCUCCCUGCCCAUUUCCAAGGAGCCUGCCUGAUGGUUUCCUAUUUUCUUUGCUUUCUAUCCAUGAAACCAGCUGGCACCUUGUUUUUCCUGUUAAUGAGCCUGCACCAGAGGAGGGGGAAAGGGACUUGAUCCCUACCAGGUUUUCAAGUCCUCCCCCCCACACACCUCCAUUUCUCAAGUAGAGCUGAACUCCUUCUUUGUCCUUGCCUCAGCUUCUAAAUCUGGAAAUGACUGAAGCUGCAAAGCACUCCCGAAAUAAAUCUUGUCAAAAUCCGAGCUCCGACACCCUCUCCCCACCGCUACCCCACACCAGAGGGUGAGAUUUCUCACACCCAAACCAAGACUCAAUGUAUUAAAAGACAGGUGAGGGUAUUCGAGGCUGCCUCAAAACCCCAUCCUUUGAUCCACGAGCCCUAGAUUUGUUUGGGAGCUGACUCCAGUGACUCAUGGAGACAUACAUCAUCUGCAAAAGGGAGCGGGUGGCGCUGUGGUCUAAACCACUGAGCCUCUUGGGCUUGCUGAUUGGAAGGUUGGCAGUUUGAAUCCCUAUGACGGAGUGAGCUCCCAUUGCUCUGUCUCAGCUUCUGCCAACUGAGCAGUUCAAAAGCAUGCCAGUACAAGUAGAUAAAUAGGUACCACUGCAGCAGGAAGGUAAACGGCAUUUCCAUGUGCUCUGGCUUCCAUCAUGGUAUUCUGUUGUGCCAGAAGCAGUUUAGUCAUGCUGGCCACAUGACCCAGAAAGCUGUCUGUGGACAAAUGCCGGCUCCCUCGGUCUGAAAGCAAGAUGAUCGCCACACCCCAUAGUAGCAUUUGAUAGGACUUAACCAUCCAGGGGUCCUUUACCUUUGCCUUACAUAUGCUACAUCCUGUGUAUCAGGGCGGAGAACCCUUUUCUGCCUGAGGGCUAUAUUCCCUUGGGUUGGGGGCACAUAGCUGCAGUGGUGGGCAGGGCCAGCAGCAGAGUGGCCAGAGCAAGGAAUGUGAAUUGUACCUUUCUAUAAUAAGCUAGUUUCUACACACACACUCACACACAUAUGUCUCUGUCCUCCAUCCAGACAAGCAAGAGGCAGGAACAGAGUUCAAGGGUGCAUUCCACCCAGGCAAAAAACAUUCAAGGAAGGUGUGAAGCAGGACCAGCGAGGGGUGUGGGCCAGGGAGAGGGGGUCUGGCCUUGCAAAAUUUCUGCAGUCCAGAUAGAGAAUCCUGGAGGGCCACAUUUGACUCCAGGUCUGAGAUCCUGUACUCUUGCUGUAUAUCCGUUUAGCUGUAGUACACUGCAGACCAGUGUCCCCUCGCCCAGCCCUGGUGCAACCCAACAGUGGAUGGCUGCUUGCAAGAGUUUCUGGUUGGCAGGGAGCCAAACUGUCCUCCGCACUGUCCUCAUAGCAAUCAUCACAGCUUUUGGCAGUUUAGGCAGUGGGUAAGCCUUAGUUUUCCUUGGAGGGCAGGUUGUAGCCUCUGCCUACCCCUCGAAAGGUAAGGGAUAUCCCAUUAAGGGAUCCAGGAGGAGCUGUUUCUGUCUGGAUGCCCAGGCAGGGGCAAAGACCAUAGCAGUUCUCAAGGUGGCAAUCCUGCAGAGCCGUUCCUAUUUGACGUAAGUCAUAGGACCUCCUCAAUUCAGGGUUGACCAGAAAAGAAAUGCUUCCAGCAGGCAGGCUGAAUAUCGAUAGUUAUACCCAAUGCUCAUGCCAUACCUCUAACAUCUGUAAUAAAUAAAGUUGUGGCCUUAUUUGAUCCAAAGUAGUUUGUCCUGUCUGUUUCUUCUCCAUAAAGUCAGGGCAGCAGGAUGCAACGCCUGGGCAUGCAAAUGCUUAGCUGCAGGCAUCUCCUCCCCAGCCCUGCCUAUACUGAAAAUAAAGUCUCAACUACCUCAUUAGGGAGGAGUGUCAAAUGAAUUAUCAUCAUUACUUGUAGAGCACCUACGAUCUAAGUGCUGUCCCUGUUAUAAAGCAGGAGUAGUCUGAGGAUAAAUGCCAGGUGUUUUGGAUUGCAACUCCCAUCGGCCCCAGCCAGCAUGGUCCAUAAUCAUAGCUGAUGGGAGUUGUAGUCCAAAAUAUCUGGAAAGUACAAGGUUAGCUACUAUUGCUGCCUCUGCUCAUGUUGCUUGCCAAUCUUACAAAGUGAAGUGUGAAGACUCCUCUCCCCUUACAAUUAAUAUUAUAUAGUAAGCUAAGGCAGUCCUCAAGGGAUGCGGGUGGUGCUGUGGUCUAAACCACAGAGCCUAGGGCUUGCCGAUCAGAAGGUCGGCGGUUUGAAUCCCUGCAACAGGGUGAGCUCCCGUUGCUCGGUCCCUGCUCCUACCCACCUAGCAGUUCAAAAGCACAUCAAGUGCAAGUAGAUAAAUAGGUACCACUCCGGCAGAAGGUAAACGGCGUUUCCGUGUUCUGCUCUGGUUCACCAGAAGCAGCUUAGUCAUGCUGGCCACAUGACCCGGAAAAACUCUUUGCAGACAAACGUUGGCUCCCUCAGCCUGUAAAGCGAGAUGAACGCACAGCCCCAGAGUCAUCCGUGACUGGACCUAAUGGUCAGGGGUACCUUUACCUUUUUAGGCAGUCCUCAGCUCACAAUCUAAUAGACAUGAUACAAAAGCAUAAAGGCCAACUGAGGGGGUUAAGUUGCUCUCACCGUUGACAUGAUGAUCUUCUUAGGAUACAGGGAGUGCAGCCUCCCAGCAAUGCUAAGUUGUCUGCUUCUCUCUUAGCCCAACCUAGGGAUGCUGGAGAUUGAACCGGGGCAGACUCCCUACCACCGAGCCAUGGCCCUUCUCAGUAUAAGCAGCCACCUUAUGCCAAGUCAGCCCACUGGUCCAUUGAGGUCAGUGUGGCCUACACUGAUUGGCAGCACUUUCUGGUGUUUCAGGCAGGAGACUCUCCCUCCCCCAACACACCUGGAGAUGCUGGGAAUGUUGUGCACGGC
rnacentral:lncRNA from 1 species